rnacentral:rRNA from 1 species
GUGGGGAAUUUUGGACAAUGGGCGCAAGCCUGAUCCAGCAAUGCCGCGUGCAGGAAGAAGGCCUUCGGGUUGUAAACUGCUUUUGUACGGAACGAAACGGUCCGGGUUAAUACCCUGGGCUAAUGACGGUACCGUAAGAAUAAGCACCGGCUAACUACGUGCCAGCAGCCGCGGUAAUACGUAGGGUGCGAGCGUUAAUCGGAAUUACUGGGCGUAAAGCGUGCGCAGGCGGUGCUGUAAGACAGGCGUGAAAUCCCCGGGCUCAACCUGGGAAUUGCGCUUGUGACUGCAGUGCUGGAGUGCGGCAGAGGGGGAUGGAAUUCCGCGUGUAGCAGUGAAAUGCGUAGAUAUGCGGAGGAACACCGAUGGCGAAGGCAAUCCCCUGGGCCUGCACUGACGCUCAUGCACGAAAGCGUGGGUAGCGAACAGGAUUAGAUACCCCGGUAGUCC